rnacentral:rRNA from 1 species
UACGUAGGGUGCGAGCGUUAAUCGGAAUUACUGGGCGUAAAGCGCGCGUAGGCGGUUACUCAAGUCGGAUGUGAAAGCCCUCGGCUUAACUGAGGAAGUGCACCCGAAACUGAGUAGCUAGAGUACUAAAGAGGGUCGCGGAAUUCCCGGUGUAGAGGUGAAAUUCGUAGAUAUCGGGAGGAACACCGGUGGCGAAGGCGGCGACCUGGGUAGAUACUGACGCUGAGGCGCGAAAGCGUGGGGAGCAAACAGG